rnacentral:rRNA from 1 species
AUGGUACUGGAAGAAUAAGCACCGGCUAACUACGUGCCAGCAGCCGCGGUAAUACGUAGGGUGCGAGCGUUAAUCGGAAUUACUGGGCGUAAAGCGUGCGCAGGCGGUCUUGUAAGACAGUCGUGAAAGCCCCGGGCUUAACCUGGGAACUGCGAUUGUGACUGCAAGGCUAGAGUGUGUCAGAGGGGGGUGGAAUUCCACGUGUAGCAGUGAAAUGCGUAGAGAUGUGGAGGAACACCGAUGGCGAAGGCAGCCCCCUGGGAUAACACUGACGCUCAUGCACGAAAGCGUGGGGAGCAAACAGGAUUAGAUACCCUGGUAGUCCACGCCCUAAACGAUGUCAACUGGUUGUUGGAAGGGUAACCUUUUAGUAACGAAGCUAACGCGUGAAGUUGACCGCCUGGGGAGUACGGUCGCAAGAUUAAAACUCAAAGGAAUUGACGGGGACCCGCACAAGCGGUGGAUGAUGUGGUUUAAUUCGAUGCAACGCGAAAAACCUUACCUACACUUGACAUGCCAGAAAUCCUGCAGAGAUGUGGGAGUGCCGCAA